AUGACGGCAUCCACUACGGAGCUGUACAUGGUUUACCGGUAAUUGUAAGUAGUAAAUCUGCCUUGAUCACUGUUGACAGGGACGGAGGG
rfam:Geomicrobium sp. JCM 19039 DNA, contig: JCM19039.contig00002.